UACAGAGGUCUCAAGCGUUUGUUCGGAUUCAUUGGGCGUAAAGGGUGCGUAGGUGGCGCUGUAAGUCGGGUGUGAAAUUUCGGAGCUUAACUCCGAAACUGCAUUCGAUACUGCGGUGCUUGAGGACUGGAGAGGAGACUGGAAUUCAUGGUGUAGCAGUGAAAUUUCGUAGAUAUUCGGAAGAACACCAGUGGCGAAGGCGACUUACUGGACACAUAUUGACGCUGAGGUGCGAAAAGCGUGGGGGAGCAAACAGG
rnacentral:rRNA from 1 species